rnacentral:lncRNA from 1 species
UCAAUCUUCCUCUGGUUUACUUUUAAAAUAUAAAUACUUGAAAUUCUCAUUAAAAACUGACAUCUGGGUUCACAUAAAGACCCCCCCCAACCCUCACCCAUCUCAUUGACAAGGCUCAGACCAUGGGAGCCUUGUCAGGUAUUUCUAUGAAACGAUAUUGAUGGGAAAAUGAGAGCAUUUGGUCACUUCGAGAACUACCAACCCCUGAACCAGCCCCCUACCCGCUUUCUCUCCCACCAACGCACACUGCACAACUCCCCGAAGCCCUGCUGAACCUACUUAGGCAGUGCCUGCCUGGCCUGGAGACCUCAGUGGGCACCCCUGAGGCACUCAUCUUUCAAAGAGAACCUAAGUCUUCUCAUGUUCUAACCUCUCCCUGCCCCACUCUUCCCAGAUCCAUAAUCAGAGGCAGAUUUCAACUGCACUGGGAGUCAAACAAAGAGUCAAGCCCGAGAGAAAAAGGCUUACACACCAA